CACUCCGGUGGCCUAGUUGCUAGAGCGUACGCCUGGGAUGCGAGAGGUCGCAGGUUUGAACCCUGGCCGAGUCA